rnacentral:rRNA from 1 species
CAAUAGCGUAUAUUAAAGUUAUUGCAGUUAAAAAGCUCGUAGUUGGAUUUCUGGGAGGGUGCCGCCGUCCGGCGUGUCCGUGUGCAGUGGCGCCCUUCCAUCCUUCUGUUAGCGUCUCUUGGCAUUCAUUUGCUGGUGGCGGGCUCAGAUAUUUUACCUUGAGAAAAUUAGAGUGUUUCAGGCAGGCUAGGCCGGAAUACAUUAGCAUGGAAUAAUGGAAUAGGACUACGGUCUCUUUGUUGGUUUGAGGGACUGCAGUAAUGAUUAAUAGGGAUAGUUGGGGGCAUUAGUAUUUAAUUGUCAGAGGUGGAAUUCUCAGAUUUGUUAAAGACUAACUUAUGCGAAAGCAUUUGCCAAGGAUGUUUUCAUUAA